UGCUUCUCCCAGGACAGAAACCCUGAGUGUGGCGUCAGGAACAGAAGAAGCCGCGGGCACCCGUGACAGAAGGACAGUCGUCCCGUUUAAUUUCUCCACAAUGGGAAUAACACCUUCCCUCCCCGCGGAGGGAGGGUGCGCGACAGAAGAUGCCCGAGAUCGCGGCAGUCAAGCGGAGACCGGGCCCAGGAGAUGGGCAGUCCCAGGGCAGCCCGGCCCCCAGCAGGGUCGGCGGCGGCGCGGAUCUCUCCCGGCUGCGGAGGCCGGGAAGAGGGGCCUCCCGGCUCCCUGCUCACACCGGGCGGGCGGGAGGAGCGGCCCUUACCUGCCUCUGGGGCGGGCUGUGGCUGCGGCGCCGCCUGGAAAGGGCCGGAGCGCGGCUGGCCGGCCAGGCACCCGCCCGGCAGAGACGAAGGGCGAGGUGCGCUGCGGCCAGACUCGGUCCCGGGUCCCCAGCCAGGCGGGCCGAACUGAACGCGGAGGCCCCCAGAACCGGUGGCCGUCAGUCAAGCUGGUGUACCCUCAGCGAGGCGGCGGAGACAGCGGGAACCGGCCCGGGGAUGAGCCGCAGCCCCGGCGGCAGGCGGAGGCGGCGAAGGAGGGGCGGGGCCACGGGGUCGCCGACCCGCUCACCCGGAAGCAGUUGUGGUCAGGGCGGCCUGCGAACUCCGCGCGCUUCGUCCGGGCUAAGACUCGCCGGGCGACGUACCCGGGCUGGCGGGGUUACCGUCCCAGGCAGCAGUGCGCCUGCUUGCCUAGUCCGCCACCGCGAGCCUCUGGGGUGGCACGGGAGGGAGGAAGGAAGGGCGGGGAGCGCGGCCUCCGGUAAGGCGGGGCCUGAGCCACCGGUGGGGCGGAGGCCCUGGGCUCCUGGAGGCAGGCAUAACCCUGACCCUGGACCGGGACCGAUAUGCGAAUUGAUACGUGUGUGGGCUCACGGUUGCACCUGCCCGGGUCGCCUCUAAACCGCCCCGCCUGGUGAGCUUGGGUAAGUGGUCGGUAGUGGCGCCCUGUCUGUAGGAAGCGAGAGUGUGCGGAUGGGCGUCGUUGAAAUGGCAAGCCAUAUUUCCAAAAUGGAAUUGCCUUAUUUUAAAAUGAUUUCUAGAGAAGGAUACUUGACGGGGGUGAGGCCAAAAAAAGAGUUUAGAGUCCGUUAAAAAUCAGAUAACCGGACGCGGUGGAGCGCACCUGUAGUCCCGGAGCCAAUGAAUUCCAGGCCAGCCUGGGAAUCAAGGAGACCCAGUGUUAAGAAAAAUUUUAACAAUCGGACAGACGCGGACCUGUCAUUCGUUCCAGAAGUGUCUGUCGAGGCACACCAGGUUGAAAGCACUGGGAAAGACCAGCUCCUGCUCUUAGCUGCUGUCCACACUAUCACUGAUUGCUGAUCAACCGUUGUCAACGAGGCCAGAUGACUAACCACUGCUCCCACGGUGAUGACUGCCAUGCAGCCUCCGACUCAUUGGACACCCGAGGACAUCCGAAGAUGUCGGAGGAGCUGAGAGAGGCUAUGGCUGAGAGGAAUCCCCUUGGUCUUAUUGACUGACUUCUUGGCUAAGAGACGUUGCAUUGAGUAAGUCCGUGGGGAUUGGACUCUAGAUGAACAAGGGAUUGAAUCUUCAAUGUAUUUGUGACUUGCUGUUAUUAGGAAUGCUAAGUUGAGUGUGUAUUGCAUGAAUAAAAUCCACUCAUUGGAA